UACGGAGGGUGCAAGCGUUAUCCGGAUUUACUGGGUUUAAAGGGUGCGCAGGCGGUUAUGUAAGUCAGUGGUGAAAUCUCUGGGCUUAACCUGGAAAUUGCCGUUGAUACUAUAUAUCUUGAAUGCUGUGGAGGUAAGCGGAAUAUGUCAUGUAGCGGUGAAAUGCUUAGAGAUGACAUAGAACACCUAUUGCGAAGGCAGCUUACUACGCAGAUAUUGACGCUCAUGCACGAAAGCGUGGGGAUCAAACAGG
rnacentral:rRNA from 1 species